rnacentral:rRNA from 1 species
AACUGGUGAGUAACACGUGGGUAACCUGCCCGGAAGCAGGGGAUAACACUUGGAAACAGGUGCUAAUACCGUAUAACAACUGAAACCGCAUGGUUUCAGUUUGAAAGAUGGUUUCGGCUAUCACUUCUGGAUGGACCCGCGGCGUAUUAGCUAGUUGGUGGAGUAAUGGUUCACCAAGGCAAUGAUACGUAGCCGACCUGAGAGGGUAAUCGGCCACAUUGGGACUGAGACACGGCCCAAACUCCUACGGGAGGCAGCAGUAGGGAAUCUUCCACAAUGGACGAAAGUCUGAUGGAGCAACGCCGCGUGAGUGAAGAAGGGUUUCGGCUCGUAAAACUCUGUUGUUGAAGAAGAACACAUCUGAGAGUAACUGUUCAGGUGUUGACGGUAUUUAACCAGAAAGCCACGGCUAACUACGUGCCAGCAGCCGCGGUAAUACGUAGGUGGCAAGCGUUGUCCGGAUUUAUUGGGCGUAAAGCGAGCGCAGGCGGUUUCUUAAGUCUGAUGUGAAAGCCUUCGGCUUAACCGGAGAAGUGCAUCGGAAACUGGGAGACUUGAGUGCAGAAGAGGACAGUGGAACUCCAUGUGUAGCGGUGAAAUGCGUAGAUAUAUGGAAGAAC